rnacentral:rRNA from 1 species
GGCGUGCUUAACACAUGCAAGUCGAACGAGAGAAGAUUGGUGCUUGCACUGAUCCGAUCGAGUGGCGGACGGGUGAGUAACGCGUGGGUAACCUGCCUCAUACAGGGGAAUAACAGUUGGAAACGGCUGCUAAAACCGCAUAAGCGCACAGUAUCGCAUGAUACAGUGUGAAAAACUCCGGUGGUAUGAGAUGGACCCGCGUCUGAUUAGCUAGUUGGUGAGGUAACGGCCCACCAAGGCGACGAUCAGUAGCCGGCCUGAGAGGGUGAACGGCCACAUUGGGACUGAGACACGGCCCAAACUCCUACGGGAGGCAGCAGUGGGGAAUAUUGCACAAUGGGGGAAACCCUGAUGCAGCGACGCCGCGUGAGUGAUGAAGUAUUUCGGUAUGUAAAGCUCUAUCAGCAGGGAAGAUAAUGACGGUACCUGACUAAGAAGCACCGGCUAAAUACGUGCCAGCAGCCGCGGUAAUACGUAUGGUGCAAGCGUUAUCCGGAUUUACUGGGUGUAAAGGGUGCGUAGGUGGUGAGACAAGUCUGAAGUGAAAAUCCGGGGCUUAACCCCGGAACUGCUUUGGAAACUGCCUGACUAGAGUACAGGAGAGGUAAGUGGAAUUCCUAGUGUAGCGGUGAAAUGCGUAGAUAUUAGGAGGAACACCAGUGGCGAAGGCGACUUACUGGACUGCUACUGACACUGAGGCACGAAAGCGUGGGGAGCAAACAGGAUUAGAUACCCUGGUAGUCCACGCCGUA